rnacentral:tRNA from 1 species
CCGGGCAUAGUCUAAAUUAGGCGUCCGCUUGCAAAUCGGGAGAGGGGCUCAGUCCUGGUCGGG